rnacentral:rRNA from 1 species
AUUGAACGCUGGCGGCAGGCCUAACACAUGCAAGUCGAGCGGAAACGAUCCUAGCUUGCUAGGAGGCGUCGAGCGGCGGACGGGUGAGUAACGCGUGAGAAUCUACCCACGAGUGGGGGACAACCCGGGGAAACUCGGGCUAAUACCGCAUACGCCCUACGGGGUAAAGCAGGGGACCUUCGGGCCUUGCGCUGAUGGAUGAGCUCGCGUCGGAUUAGCUUGUUGGUGAGGUAAAGGCUCACCAAGGCGACGAUCCGUAGCUGGUCUGAGAGGAUGAUCAGCCACACCGGGACUGAGACACGGCCCGGACUCCUACGGGAGGCAGCAGUGGGGAAUCUUGGACAAUGGGGGCAACCCUGAUCCAGCCAUGCCGCGUGUGUGAAGAAGGCCUUCGGGUUGUAAAGCACUUUCAGCAGGGAGGAAGGCUUACCCCUAAUACGGGUGAGUACUUGACGUUACCUGCAGAAGAAGCACCGGCUAAUUUCGUG